GGAGAGUUGGCAGAGUGGUCGAAUGCGGCUGACUUGAAAUCAGCUGAAGGUUUGCGCCUUCCGAGGGUUCGAAUCCCUCACUCUCCUCCA
rnacentral:tRNA from 1 species